AGCUCCAAUAGCGUAUAUUAAAGUUGUUGCGGUUAAAAAGCUCGUAGUUGGAUUUCUGCAUCGGAACCAGCAAGGCGUGACCAUAUCGGUCUAGCUUCUGUGGGUUCUUAUGCAUCCUGCCUUUACCCACGCUUGCCUUGAUUGGCUGGCGACGGCGAGGGGCUCGUUUACUUUGAGAAAAUAGAGUGUUCAAAGCAGGCUUUGCGCCUUGAAUAACUUAGCAUGGAAUAAUGACAAAGGACCUUGGUUCUUUUGUUGGUGUUCGGCACCGAGGUAAUGAUUGAUAGGGACAGUUGGGGGCGUCAGUAUUCCGAGGUCAGAGGUGAAAUUCAUAGAUUCUCGGAAGACUAGCAGAUGCGAAAGCGUUCGCCACGGAUGUACUC
rnacentral:rRNA from 1 species